rnacentral:lncRNA from 1 species
GUAUAGGACCUUUAAAGAAACUACAACUCCCAUCUCCAUGCUAACCAUCUCUUCACCUGAUUGGAGAGGAGUACUGUGUGAGAGACCCAUCUAUCCCAGUCUUAACUUCAGGCUUAUAGUUACUCCAUUCUAAAAUGUGCUGUAUCUGGGAGACAAACUUAGUCGUAGACUGCAGAGAGUAGGAAUGGACCUGAUGGUUAAUAAAAAGUUGUUGAAGCUUGGACAACUCUGUAUUUGAAAGGAACAAAUGAACGCAGACAACAGAACAGAGUGAGGCUGAACCAGGGUUACCUAACAUUUCAAAUAAAGGGUCUGUUAAGAAUGGAAUGCUUGACUGUUCCGUUAGCCGUUCUGUUUGUUCUAGUGUUCUGGGGACACGUUUCAGAUACUAGAACCAGUCAGUCACUAUGCCAGAGCUCUCUAGCUAGCACUGAGCCUAUCAUUAGACCCACUACAACAAUCAGGCUAUCUUUAUUGAUGGCCUGUCCACGAAGCCUUGUGUGUGUCCGACACCAGGCAGCACGGUAUACAAGCCUCGUGUUGGUGGUGAGAGAGGGGAGAAAGAGGUAGAAGGAUAGGAAUGGAGAAGAGAAAGUUAGUCAGUGAGAAACGGUAUUUGUGUGAAUGUCUCAAGAGUUAAAACCAGAUUGUGGUGUUGUAUAGUUACUAACCAGGCAUAAUGUGUGUCUACUGUCAGUGGGGCAGUCUUAGGCUGUGUCCCCCAAAUGGCACCAUAUUCCCUAUAUAGUGCACUACGUUUGACCAGAGCCCUAUGGACCCUGGUCAAAAGUAGUGCACUAAAUAGGGAAUAGGGCGCCAUUUGAGACGUAGUAGGUGUGACUUAGCCCAAUGCCAUUUAAGGUGGGUAAAGUGAAAGUGGAGUUGAGGUAGAAGCCAGAGCUAGUGGAGGCAGAAGAGGAGAGGUCAGGGGAAUCUCUAUCUCCAACACAUGGCGGUAGUACUGUACACUGUGCUACUGGGUUUGACCAACAAGUGACUUCCUCAUCGCCAAUGCAAUGCUGGGGGUUCAAGCCCAGUUAUUUCAUCAUCUGCUUAAUGCUGCCCCAGUCUCUAAUGAAACCACCUGUGGCUUUUAGUGCAGGUUCGUAGCUUAUUGUAAAGUAGCAGACAGUCUCACCACUCACAAUGCAAAGAAAUGAAUGGUUGGUUCCAUCAUUAUUACAGUUUUUUGACAUGGAUAUUUUAGUUUUUGGUCGAUGUCCUUCUGGUCUUUUUGGAAACCUUACAAAAUGUUGUAAUGAUGAACAGUGUUUCUUUCUGGUUACCUGACAGUGUUGUAGACAGUAAAACUGGUCCAAUCUGUGGACACCAGAAUAGUUCAUUAAGCCCCACAUCCUUCUCAAAGCAGCUGUACAAACCAUUACCUGGGGUCAAACAUGUUUAAAAGUGAAUACCGUAGAAAAGUUAUUUCUAAUAAACACUCGUCACCUUAACUACUGAUUAGCUUACAAGGACUGCUAGAUCUAUCGCCUUCUGCUUACCGCUUCAGUCUCUACUCACUGUAAACAUGUCCGCUACGGGAAAUCACUUGAAAAGAUAUGGUAGAUUCUCAACCAUUUAAAAUUGUUAAAAACAGUUGGGGGGUCCUUUGUAAAACGUUGCUUUUGCCUGUUUUGUGGAUUGAACUUUUCGUACUUACCGGAGGCCCUCAGUACAGUACUUAGCAAGUUUGGUUGAAG